rnacentral:snRNA from 1 species
GUGCUCGCUUCAGCAGCACAUAUACUAAAAUUGGACAGAUACAGAGAUUAGCAUGGCCCCUGUGCAAGGAUGACACGCAAAUUCGUGAAGCAUUCCAUAUUUAA